UACACUGUUGUUAACUAGAGUCUCAAAAGACGUCUCUCUUUAGAUGCAAAAUGAAGUCUCCUGCAGACUUGUGUUGUUUGAGACAGUGUUUCCAAAAGAAUGGCAGGCAGUUCAAAAAUGCAUUUAAAGAAUCGCAGACUGUCCGUGAGAUAAAGGUGCUGUCCUCUGAGAUUCCACAGUUAAGUGGAAUUAAAUGGGAAAUUUUUGCCUCCUAAUGGAGCACAGUGACACAUGGCCCUGAUGGGUACGACAUCAUUUCUGCUAUACUCUCUUGGUGGAAGGAGUCGAGAGCCCACCUGGAUUCAAAGGACUGGGACAGAGACCCCACCUCUCGAUGGGAGGAGUGUCGAGUGUUUGCAGCAGCUGCUGGAACCACCCUGACUGCGGCAGGGCAAAGAACGGGGUGGUGCCCCCCUGGACGCAGCCGCUGUGCUCCCUGCAGAGGCACCUCGCCACCGCCAAGAGCGACAAUCCCCUGCAAACUGCACCGCCAGCAAACUGCACCGCAGGCCUGCGUCGGGGGGCUCACGGCAGCCUGGUUCACAGACUCUCGGGAGAAAAAUUCCGACGUACAGGACCUGUUACCCAGCCGUGCAUCUCCUCACCUGCAGCAGGCAGGUUGGAACUUACCAAGUUGCCCCUUUCAUGUUAUAAACCUUCAGAAAAGGAGACAAAAAACUUGAAAUUUGCUCUCUAGAAUAAAAAUUGUCCUUUAAAAAUUUAUUUGCAGCUGUGCCCAAAUGAUGAUAGAUUUAUCCCAUAAACCGAGGAUCAGUAAACACGGUGUACCCUAUAAAGAGCUAAACAAGUCCUUGCUCAUCAGCGCACUUAAUUGCGGAGGUUCUAUCAAAGCCGCGCACACUGAAUCACCAACCGCAAGUGAGGUUGUGUGCUGUACGGAGGUGCCUCUGUCCUUGUUUUUCCACCUGUUAAAAUGAAAGAUUCUUGGAAUAUCAUAUAUGUAAAACUUGUUUAUGAUGCAAAUAGAAAGAUGCCCUUUCAUCUCUUCACAGCUUUGAUGUCGUGAUAGCAAGAUCUUAGUGCCACCUCCUCCCAGACACGCACCGGAGAUGCUAUCUGGUUCACAAACUUGUGCGCCCAGUGUAAAUACGUGGGAACCAAUUACGAGCUCAUUCUGCUUUCAGUACUUUUUAUGAGGAAUUUGUCCACUUCUAAAUUAAUAGAAAGAUGAGAAGAGUUUGUUGAUACAUUUUUCUUUAAGAUUUAGAAUUAUAUCUGGAGCAUCAAGGUAAGGGAAGCCUGUGAGGAGGGGAAAUAAAAGGCAGCGCCUCAGAGUUCAUUUGCUUCCUCUAAAGAGGACGUGAAGUCCUCGGUGAGCUGGGAAUGCCGACUGGAAAGUCCUCUGCCAGACGCAGUUGUCUUUGCACAUAGAACCGUGAAUUUCCUUCUCUCCUGUUUCGAGAGGACAGACCCUGCUCCUCUCAAUAAAUAUUUAACUAAGAAGCUCAGUUUUUCUCUCUACCACAGUCUUGGGUUUUAACUUUGCUUAAAAUCUCCCCCAAUUUUAAAAGUAUGGAUUCCUGGGCCCUGCCCCAGCCCUAAAUUUUAGUUAAAUAUUAACUUUUAAAGAAAGUCUCAGGCUGGGGCCUGCUUAUGUCUUUUUUAAAGGCUCCUGGGUCAUCCCAACGUACCACCGGGGUUGAGAACUAUAGAUCCAUCGAAUCACAUUAUAUUUUAAUGUUAUUUUACUCAUUUAAAAAUAUGCUCAUUAUUCAAAUACUUCUGAGCACUUACGCAUACAGAAACCUAAAUUUCCAAAACUAGAACAAAUUGGAAACAAUAGUUGAUAGACUCUCUUUUGUACAUUAGAGAAUCUUUAAGUAAACAAAGUUGCAUGAAAGCUGUAUAAUACACUAAAAUUUAAUUUUAACUACUUCAAUUUCUAUUGAAAUGGCUGGUAACAUGUGUGACAAAAAGUAAGAUUUUAAAGAGAGAAUCUUGCAAGACAGACAAAAUCCUGAGUGUGAGGAAAACUCCUAACGUUCAGACUCCCUGGAAAUUCGCUGUACGACUUCCUUCUCAUUCAUUUUAAAACAGAGAGAUAAUAUUCUUUAAAUUACCCUUUGUCCAGAGUUAAAAUAGCAAGGAAUUUCAGGCAAGUAAUUAAAGGCUCAGCUAUUGAAAAUAAGGCCGAUACUAGAACGUUUAAAAUGGGAGCUUCAUGGAUAUUCAGGGAUCAGGAAAGAUUUAAGCCUUUCUCCUCAACUUGGUGUAUAAAUGGAAGUACAGAUUUUCUCUCCAAAUUGAUACCCUGCGUGCACCCUGCGAGAUCUAAGAUGAGUCUUUUAGAUCAUUUCGAACAAGGCAAUUACAUCAUGUUUGGCGUAAUUCUAGCACUAAGUAUACCUUAUUAUGUCCUCAUUUUGUAAAGGCUGGUCUUCUGCAUAUAUAUGUUCUUUGUACUGACCAGAAUGUUUAAUUAAUUACAAUACCGCGUCUUACCAUCAUCCUGCAUAAUGAGAGUUUACUGUACAGCUAUUUUUGGUAGCCUGGAAGAGUGGAAAGCUAUUCACAACGAUGAGUACCUGAAUCUGCUGAUUGUAGACAUGAGCAGUUCACAAUAUCCCAUCAGUGGUGAUGGGGAGCAGACAAGCUAAUUGGCCCACUUAAAGGAUACAGCUCCCCAAAGAGGGCUGUCUUUCAUGGCUCGAGUUCCACUAAUCAACAGAUACUCGUCGAGCUCCUGCUGUGCCUUGCAUGAUGGUGGAGACGACGGGUGCAGGGCACCAAUCAAGGCCCACGACCCGGGCAUCUCUGGAUUCAGCCGGAGAACAAGACAUGCACAUAUGACAUUUCUAGUAAAAAAUAUCGUAUUUAUGAAAAUGCUCCUAUUCUAUACUCAUGAAAGAAAGUGCUCACAGGACGGGCGAAAAGAACAAACGAAUAUGGAAUAAAGUAUCAAUCACAUGUACUGAAUGCGGAAUGACCAAGCACAGCCCAGUCAAAGCGUUCUGGACACAGGAGCCAGAAGCGCCCUCAGAAGGGUGCCCCGUAUGCUCCGUGUCCCGGAUACGGGGCGCCCCCCAGAGCGGCCUCAGCUCCUGGGAAGGGGGCCGUGCUCCCUGGCUUCGGGGUGUGGGCUCCUGCUCCGUGUUUGUUCGUGUUUUCCGUUCGCCCUGAGAUUUUGCUCCAGGAACACAGAAGGGAUGCGGUUAGGAAAAGGGACAUUUCAGCCCUGGGGGCUCUGGAUCCCAAAGUCGAGACACCAGCAUCAGGCUCGGAGCCACAACCGGAAGAUACCAGCGGCUUCCAUGUGACCAGGUGACCGCGCCUUGGAAGGCUGACCACUAGGCAGGCCCAGUCACACUUCAAACCUCAACUGAAGCCAUUACAGCGAUCAGCCCAGGAAAGUCACUGUUGUCGGAGCUGCGAGACUCUCUCUGUUUCCCUGGCAUCAGUUCCUUGGCUGGGGGCCUGCAGGAGAGAAUUCUUAUCUCGGAACCUGGAAGGGCUGAGCUUUCCAACGUCACCUAGACAUUUUCCUGAGCAUUUGAUGGAAAAACAGGCCUGCUCCCUGGAGUGAGGCUGGGUCCAGCCAGCUUCAACGGUUCGCUCCCAGGGGAGGAGGCCAGAAUCCUCGCGUCAACUGUUUGUGGGCCAGGUUCUCUGCUCAGCGCCCUGUCAGCAACCUUGGCAUUUGCAGAUGAUGGCUCUUGAGGAAUGAGACCUGGGAACUUCCGGAGGAGGCUGUGAAUGUGGCUGGAGGGUGUGAAGCUGUUCUGACUUUCACAGCGGAGUCUGUCCCACAAGAUGAGUCAGCGGGUGUCCAAAGCAAAGUUGCCCCUCCAACAUUCUGCGAGCCUGGGGCACCGAGCUGUCCGGGGGUCCUGAGCACCGGCCCUCGUCAGCAAGGCGGCCCUGUCUCUGCGGCGAGCACUGCGGCCUGCAGCGGCCAGGCAAAAUGCCAUUCGAAGAUAGUUUGGAAGAGCAGCUGGUUGAUUCUGGAAGCUUCUGUUGCCUAGUCCAGAAGGUCAACUGGUGCCUUAUUCCCGAGAAUGAGAAAUUCACCUCCUUUUCUGCCUGGAGUGGGCAGCAAGGGCUUCCUGGACUCAGUCCACUCUCUCCUCCGAUCCUGAUGGUGUCGUAACUCCGGUGUGCAGGUCUCAGGUAGAGCACAUUGUGACGAGAGCCACGUCAUUGUUGCAAAGAUGCCCACAUAGUAGUGUCAUUUCGUGAAGAUACUCCACUUUCUUUGCUGAGGUGUGAACCCAAGAUGAUGAAAUUCCUAGACCCUGGACUCAAAGUGUAAGAAAAUGCUCCCACAGGGAGUGACAGAGUUGGGUGAAGAACGUGGGAAGCAGUUCUUGGGCGGCCUUAACCGAAAGGCUGCUCUGUGUUCGUCCAAGUGCCUCAGCUCACUUGGCAGGAAGUCCUUCACAUUGUUCAGACCAUCAGAUGUUUUCCAGAGAAUUUUCUAGUUUUUAACCAUUCUUCUUCUGAAGGCGGUUGAUGGGUUUAGGACUUUGUUUGGGAUGCACCUUUUGAAAGCACGAGCAAACUGUAUAGUUAUUAUGGCGACGAUUUUUCUUCCAGAGUUCAGCCUUGUUUCUGGAAUGCAGGAUAGAAAGUUUAAGUGCUUUUUCUAUGCUUAUAAAUAAACAAAAAUUAGGGAAACAUAGGGAAAAAAAAGACCUGGGGGCUCGGGCUCAUCCCCCGCCCUGUUGAGUGGCUGGGCGGUCCCGCGCGCCCUCUCUUCUUACCUUAGGAUCGAAUCCUUUCUCCUCCUUUGAAGAAAGAUGGUAUCACCUGAACUUUUUCAAAUGUCUGAGAGUUAAAAGCUACCUCUUCAACCUGCGGUCCUUUAAAAUUUACGGAGGAACAAGCUACGUCAGGCUCGACGAGGCCGGCCCCACAUAAAGUCAAUACUUGUCUCAAAGCAAACACAGUCUUCGAAUACAAGGUCAAAGGGAAAGAAUCCCGUCCCCCCGCCUCCCCCAGCCACUCGUCUCCCUUCAAAGACGGAGCUGGUGACCUGGCUCCUUGUGCAGGUCAAAUGCGUGUCAUAGCAGACACUGGAGUUAAUAUUAAACUAAAAAUUAAUAGAUUAGAUAACUAUUACAUGCUUUUAGUGCCAAUUAAUUUAAUAGCUGUUUUUUCCCCUCCUUUUACGAGGCACGAAAAUACAGCGCAUAGUUUCCUGUGGCAAGUUCUCAGGCAGAUCUUUUGUGCUGCCAUUGCCACCGCCUGGCCGGGCUGACACAGGUGAAGACACGGAGGCCCCAAGAGGUGACACUACUUAGCAAAGGUCACCCAGCCACCCACCAGCACAUCUGGAUCUCAGACGCAGCGUUCUGGACUCUGGGUUCAGAACCUUUGAAGAAUAUGGUACAGUUAUGCUCACUGAUGGCUUGCCCAUGUCGCUUUUCCCGUGUGCUGUCAUGUAACAAAUUGACUUCAAAGAAUGCCUUCUAUGAAACAUUAGAAAUGAAGCAUGUUCUGUCAUCAGCUGAAAGCAUACGAUGUUCACAAGAACUGUGCUCGAUCGGAGAAUAUUUGGCUCUUGCAAGGUGUCCCCUUGUCCAGGAAGUCUUUCCCUGCAGCGCUGACAUCCAGCCUCGGUUUGACCUGAAGGUAAAGCUGGAGGGCGAGGUGAGUUCAUUGUUGACGCCCCCGGGAAGCAGAAACGACAGAAAAUGCAGUUGUACAUUUCCCGCUAUUAAUUAUGCAUCAGGAUCAUACGGCUUGUGGAGUUCAGACGAGCAUGGUGACCCCAGGGCACGGGGCCUCCUUCCUCAGCCCUGGGAGGGACAACUACGUGACUCGGCAGAUUCGUUGCCUCAGUUUACUCUUCUCUAAAUGGAGAAUGCUGAGGCAAUACAGAGAGAAUUGGAUGAGUGGUAAGAAACGGGUGAACUCUUGAAAGUCUUUAAGAUUUGGGGUGUUUUCUCUUCACCUUGACAUUCUAGACUCUUCCCCCUCUCGUCCCAAACCCCUUCAUUCCCGCUGUCUCCUGCAACUCUGUUCCUCCCAGCUUUGUUUAUCCGAAUCUACCUUCUUGUUCUCUGAACCACCGGAGUUCUAAUCACAGUCGUCCUGCUGAGCAAAGUGGAGGGCCGGGAGAGAGCAUCCAUCAGAGGCGGCGACUACAGGCACGGGCAGAGACGCUACCGUCAUCUACCACACAUGGACACGCGGACACACACAGAUACACAGACAUGCACACACAGACGCACACAACACAGACACGCGGACACACACACGCGCACACGCACAUAUACACAGACAUUCACACAUGGACGCACACAACACAGACACGCGGAUACACACACAUGCACACGCACGAACACAUCUUUGAAUUAUUUGAUGUUUAUUCCUGAAUCCAGCCGUUCUCUGCUCUUCAUCCUCUUCUACCCGGCCUGAAUGCAGACAAAUGAAGCAGAAAGUAUUUUAUGUUACUCUGAGAAAGCUGAGAGAGGCUGUAAUUUAUUUAUAAAAGGGGCUUUGCAAAAAAGUGAGAAGAAUAAAAGGCAAAGGAUCGUUGACAGCACGGGUGCCGGCCGUCGUGGCCUCUGAUGACAGGAGCUGAGGAGCCAUGUCCCCGAUUGUCGUGGGCUGGAAAGAACCUCAGCCCCUUGUCCUUGCAAGAGCACAGGGUUCAGUUUCCCCACAUGUGGUCAUCGCAGCACACUUGUAAGCCCCUGAGCGGCUGCGCUCGAUCUCCACAGAGCUGCUGGGCCCGACACGCUGGUCCCGCGGGAGAGAAGCCUUUUCCUAAAUUGCGCACAGGUGUCCUCCGGCCUGCACGGGCCCAGCCUCCGCGUGUGCCUUCGGAAGGCAGUCAUGGCUCUGACCUCUGGACGUCUUCCUGUGACCCUUUCCUCUUUGCAUUUAAAAUUUCACUCAGAAUUUGUUGAGCAAUUCCAGUUUAGAAUUAGCUCUGCAAAGAUGGCAUUUUCCAUCUUACCCUCUUAAAAAUCACCCCAAAGCAGCAAGGAGAAUGAGAAUUAAAAUGCAAAACACCACCUUUACAACAAAAUUGGGAGACGUCUGUAAGCCUGAAACACAAUCUAUGAGAGAAGGCUGCCAAGGGGAGAGAAGGUCAAAGGGAGGCCCAAGAAGAGGUUCCGAGAGGGCACACACAGCUGCAGAUGUCAGGACGCACGGGCAGAGGGAGAAGGGGACCCCUGCCAUGGGGAAAGCCAACAAUCAUUUGUUUGGAACCAGAGAAGAAGAUGAUUGGGCUGGCAGCAGGAGUUCCCUGGGUGCAGCAUGAUAUGAAUUCUCAGGAAACAGAGACAGCGUGUUUAAACUGAGGAAUCGUGCAGUAAGCUGUAUUUGUAAAAUCCAUCUAUCCAUCUAUCUAUCUCAGUGUGUUGGUGAGGCAGGGUGGGGAGAAACUCUGCACAGGAGCAGCCCUGCACCACUGCCUGGAUUGGCUGGAGCAAAGUAAAUCUAAAUGAAUUUAAUCCUACAGAUAACCCUGGGCACAAAGAGAAUUCCAUUUGCUUGGAAUAUGACCUUGGAUAUUCCACCACAUGUGGCUUCAUCAAAUGGCUUAUAGGAAGAAAUCCCCUCAUUCAAUGAUAAAUUAUAAUUUAAAAUGUCUAUUUAAAAAUACCAAAGGGAAAUGGAUUAAAUUAACAGGGUGAAAAAUGGCAAAUGGAAGCUCCUAUUUGAAAAAUAUUGCCCAGAGGUAAACAACAAUAGUGACUGAAUAUAUCACCAUGAAUUUUUAAAAGCAAUACAGCAGUUUACCUCAAUAAAACAAGAGCACAAACACAAAAUAUAAGAGCUCAUAAAAAAGAGGUUUAACAGCAGGUAACAAUCAACUAUAGGUUGCCAUAAUUCAGGAAAGAGCUGAGUAAAACUACCAUGUGAUCUAGCAAUCCAUUUCUGGGUAUAGGUCCAAAGGAAAUGAAAACAGGGUAUCAAAGAGAAACUGGCACUCCCAUGUGCAUUGCAGCACUAUUCCCAAUAGCCAGUACAUAGAAAUGACUUGUGUCCAUCAACAGAUGAAAGGAUAAAGAAGAUGGGAGAUAUAUGUAUAUACACACAAUAUCAUCUUGAUUCAUUGAGAGCUGGAGUGAUGUCUUACAUCAUUUCUAUCCCUUUGAACAGGGCAUACACAGGGUCUCACAAGUAUCUGAGGUCAUCAGUCGCUAAGUAUACCCACACUCUGCAUGAGGAGCUCAGCUCCAAGCAGGUGAGCCCCCUUGCAGCCCUUCUCUGACACGCUGCUCACUCCGACUCCUCUGCCUGUCCUCCCUCUGCCUUCCGUCACCUGGAAGGGCCCUGCUUUCUCUUAAGUGCUGCACAUUUCCUCUCUUCCAAGGAUCAGCUUAAGUCUCAUUCAUUUUUUUUUUCCCUCUAAGUCUUUUCAACUGCUUCAGCCGAAUCCUGAUCUCGUCUUUUUCAGAAUUCCUAUUUAGGACAUUGAUCUCCAAAUUCUUCUCAUUUGAAUGUCUUGACUCAUCAACAUGAUAAACUCCUCGAGUAUCUUUUCAAGUGUAUUCUAAACAACACCUAAAAUAAGGCUGGGUAGAGAGUAAGUGCAAUAACUGACUUUCUAUUAAUUGAUUGACACCCUUGGAGGGUUUGCCAAGGGGCAGCAGUGAGCAAGGCUGCCCAGCUUAUCAAGAACAUUGGGCUAACGCAAUCCCUGCCCAAUCGUGUUUAAUUACUUUGCAGAUGUUUAACAGUCUGUAUUGUGUAUGCACUUCUGAAAUUGUUCCAGUGUAUCCAUAAUUGAUUUAGGGGAUAUGCAGGUUAAACUCUUGGUGGUUUAGGAAGGAUGGAAACUUGAGUGGUAGUAGAUUAAUAAUUGCUGUAAAAGUGAAAGCAGAGAUGAGUUUUUAAGCCUUUGGCAGGGGGAACAGUAAUGAUUCUCUGUGAAGUAUAAUCCCGAGAAAAGAGGAGUCACCUUCCCUCAGAUACUGUCUCCAUCCUUAAUGCUUUAUGAUUUUUCUCUUUAAGAUGUUCACCUCUUGGCAGCGUCUCUUAUAGAGAUGGGAUUGUUUUUCCAGGAGCUGAGCCAAUCUUUGCCUAACUGAUGAAUUACAACAGAAAAUUGCACUGCAGAGGACAGAACUGAGUUUGGCAAUUGAAAUCAUUCCCUAACUCGUGUUGCCCUUCCGACACCCUCUCACCUCCGCCUGAGGCUUCCCGAGUGACGGACGGACACUCCUAGUGAAAGAUUGAAGAUUGAGAGGAAGCGUUUUUAAAGAAAAAAAUAAUAUUUUUGGAGAUUUUCUUAAAUUGUUUAGAGGGAAAAAUAUGCCUGACAUUGGAAAAAUGAGUUCAAAGCCUGCGGUUUUACAGAGGUGGUUGUGUCCUUUUCUCCUUCUGUUCAACUCCUAAGGCCCACCAUCAAUGAAGUCUUCCCUGAGAUCAUGAGAUCAGCAAGAUAAGAGAAUCUAAGACCCAGGAGUGACGUUAUUAAGGAGGUAAAAUUCCCUAAUAUUACAGAUGAAGGAGCUGAGGCCUGGGGAGGUUGUCGGAUCUGCCCAAGGCCAGCCAGCACCCAUGCAUCCUCUUCCGACUGGCCACCUACUUUGAUACUCAUGCCAUUGAUGUGAGCAUCUAACCACAGCAUGCCUGCUCUCCAUCUCCAUCUUGUUGUCUCUAUUAGAAGCACAGGCUCCUGGAUGGCAGAAAAGUAUUUUUUUUCCCGCGAUUAUAUUCCCAUUGUAACAUGUUGCUGGAUAGCAGAUGGUGGUGUCAGUGCUGGUUGAAUUUCCAUGAAUAUAGUAAAUGGCUAUUGAAAGAUAAACUGAGGGAUAUUAAAAAUUUUAAGAGUUUGAGCCAAAAUCAAUUUGCAUUGGGCAGCGCCAAACCGGAAGUGGUUAGGAAGGAGCAAUCCACUGACAGGAGCUGGGGAGAGACCUCUGCAGGGAAGAGGCAGAGCGAAGCCAGGAAACCAUUGACUGGCUGUUCCUUAAAGUCUAGUUGGCUGUUGUGACGGGUCAUCCUUGGGUUUCAGUUUCACGACCUGGAGGCAUUUACGGGCUUGGAUUUUGACUUGCUCACGACCGUCACCACGGCAUUACAGCCUCCUCAUCUGAUGGCCUCCUUGCUUAGUUAAUCUAAUAUUACCAAUUGGUGGAGCUGUCAUAGGUGGUUAAGCUCUUUAAUCGGGGCCCACUUAGAGUCGUGUGUUUGGGUUGCUGUGUUCACAGCGUGCAUCCGUAUUCCUUAGUUUUCUUGGUAUCAGUGGACACAUUCUGUACUUUGAAGUUACCGGUAAUGUCAAACUUGGGAAUCACUUUAUGUGUUUAUUUUUAUUGUGCUCACGAAUUCAUUUCUCCUUUUGUAAAAUGCGGCUCGCGUCCCUCCCAGGGGUGCAGCAGCCAGAGACCACAGAAAGCCACAGGAGCACAGAAAUAAGAAUUAGGGGCUUCGGUGGUCGUGCAGACCUUCCUGCUAAUUGACACGUGACCUUGGGCCAAUACUCAAACCGCUCCUGGUCUCGUCUUUCUCUGUAAAGUGAAGAAACGCGACCACAUGUCUCCAGCGGCCCUUCCGGCUCCGACACUCUGUGCCUGAACCGAGAACUGAUAGAUCGGGCGAGGGGUCUGGCGAAGGGCCUGCGGCUGUGCCCUCUCUCCUCUGGUGACCUUGUCCUCACACAGGUGUAACUAGGAGUGUUGCCACAGUCAGUGCUGGGAGCAAAGCUGGAAGAAAUUUCUGCUGUGCCUCCUAAGCCAAGUGUGUAGUAUGCCCUGGUGCCAUUGCAGUCAGUGGCUCGGGGGCAAUUCGUCCCUUGGAAUAAAAGCUCCAGGAAAUGCUGGACUGCGUUGCAUCGGCACUCUCAUUCUUCCCGUGCUUCCUCCAGGUGGCUCGUGCCCUGAAAGGGACGCCUUCAGAGGCAGGCAAGAAGGGGCCACUCACGGGAGUGAGGAGGAGAUGGCGUCCUGGGAGGGAAGCGGCCUGUGCUGCCCUCCCGGCCCCACCAGUCCUGUCUCGAUUUGGGUGCCGCGAUUGUCCUGCGUCCCUGCAUCAGUGAGAUGGCAGUGGCCUGCUUCCAUGGCUUCCUUCUCUGGGAACAAAUACUAUAUUUGUCAUUCCAACCUCAGUUUCUUUGCUCAGCCCAACGGAUGUCAGGUCCUUAGCGGAGAGCGCGGAGGGGUACUCGGUUGUCCACACCUGCGGUUUCAGGAGAUGCAGGACACCACCUAGUCCUCGGCGGUUACUCUUGUCCGCACUUCUCGUUUCACAGACGAGGCGCUGAAGCCCAGAGAGAUCAAAUGUCUUCCACUCGGCUGUUGAGGGGGAAGAGCCAGACCCACCGCCUCCUCUCCUCCCAGUGCCUCCUGUUCCCAAUAAACAUGUUCCCCACCUGCUCUGCCACCAGCCGCGCUCCCCAGAGUCAGCAGAAGUGCAGGCUGAGUUUGGCCUCCUUUGCUGUUGGUUAGAUACCUGACAGGAGAUGCAUCCGUGGACCAGGCGCUGGCGUCGGGGCUGUGUUAGUCCCGGCUCUGCCACCAUCAGCUGCGGGGCCGUAGGCACGUUUCUUAGUCUCUCUGUGCUUCAGUUUUCUCAUCUGCGAUUUGCAAAAAAUACCCACCUCACGGAGUUAGUUGUGAAGCCUUAAUUGGUUAGUGUAUAAAACUGCUAGCCCAGGGCUGGCAGGGUGGUGACACUCAGCUAAUGUCCCCAAUGUCACUAUCAUUGCAUGCUGUCGUCACUUUCAGGGUGCAAGCCUGGAUUGAAACUGGUGUGGAAAGUUGAGAGACAAAUGCCAGUGUAGACAGGGGAUGAACUCUAUUUAGUCAAGCGUUUGUGUAAUGAGCAUCACCUGUGCGCCCAGGACUCCUCGAGAAGCUGGGAGGGAGAGGUGAGAAUCAGUGUGGUCCUCACACUAAGAAGGUGAAAGACAUCCACCCAGAGCAGCAACCCCAAGUCCAGGGAUGGGCCUGGAGCCGGCCUGGGGUGUGGACAGUCAGGUGGAGUGGGAAGGGGGACCAUGAGAGGAAGCAGACCCUGCUGGGAAGAGACGUUCACGUGUGGGGUUGAGGAGGCCUCAUGUGCAGACGCUGCCGACACGUCAUAGGAAGAGGGUUGGAAAGACAAGGUGGGUGUCAGACGUGAAGCAGACAUGAAGCUGUCAUCCGUCUCCAUCAAUCUUCUUCCAGGAAGGAACCUGACGUCCUGACAUGCGCGUUGAUGUGCCCAGGGAGGAGCCACGGGGGGUCUGGUCUUCUCAGACGGCGCCCCAGUUUCCUCCUGCAUCAGAAGGCGAGUCGGCCUGGACGGUACUGUGCACGGCUGCUUCUGGCUCAGCUGCUCGUAAAUUCCACAUCUGAGAACACAGCAGAAAAGAUGCCAGUACUGACUCGGAGCUGGUGACCCUGGGAACCAUGUUUGUGAGUGACUUUGCUGCUGCUACAGGAGCCUGAGGUGGCCGGUGACAAGUUUGGAGAAGUGGCCUGAGUGUGGUGUAUUUCAUUGGUCUACACUGAAUUUGCACGAAAGCAGCCGUUCAAGUGUGUAAUCGUGCAGUUCUGUGGGAAAUGUCCUGCCAGUGGUCAGCAGACCCUCGUUCUUUGGAGAACGAAAUUAUAAAAUACCUAAUUUCAUGUCUGCACACGGCCCCCAGGGAGUGGUGUGAGGGGAAAAAGCCACCAGUUACCAAGUACCUACUGGGUACACUAUGCUCAGGAAAUGCCAUCCACUCGUCUUGAUGCUCAGAUGCUGAUGGUCUCUCUGCAGCCUUCCUGCGAUGCCCGAGUUUUCCUUCUGUCCUAGCAAUCUUAGCAGUGUCACCUCUGCUCGUUGACCCCAAACUAAACACAUGAAGAGGGCCUCGUCCACUUCUCUGUGCCUCAGAAUGCUGGGUCUUCCUCCUGCGGGGGCGCCGGCUGAUCCGUCCGUCUUGGGGACCGUCCCUGUGAAAGUCUCGUUGGUUCUUUCCAAGAACUCAUCAAGAGGGAAAACUUACAGUGGUACCAACGUGUAUUGUAACACAAUGCGAGGAAGGUUGACUCAAAGGGGCAUUUUCUAAUAGAAUUUCAGGCAAAAGAACGUGGUUAAAUGGAAAAACAUAGCUUUUAAAAGAAAAUGCUGUUAUGACUAUUGCUUUUUUAAAAAUCUGUAAAAUAAUAUUGUACAAAAAAUUGCUUCCUUUCCCAGUACGUGAACAGUCCCCAUGGAUAACAAAGUCACAUUUCCAAUCAUCCAACUCAUUCACUCAUUGCAAAGGCUCGAUGGCACACCUCUUAGGUUCUAGGCCGUGUGCUGGCCAUGCGAAGGUGAAAGAGACACUGUCCCUCGUAGUCUGUGACAUCUGGGACAAACCAGGAGAGUGGGAGGGGAUCUGGGAAGUCAUACAGCCUAGAGUUGCAUGUAAGACAGGGUCACAUCUAUGACAACUUGGGCGAGUGGCCACUUCUGCUCCCGCCCCUCCCGUGACGGGCACUGCCUGCUUGGGGACGAGUCGCUGUGUUUGCUCAUAUUGCUCCCAAAUUUGUCUUCUUUUAUUUCUGCUUCAUAGUUCUUCUGGUUCUUUCUCUUGGAGCUACACAGAAGGCGCCUGGGAAUUUUGGAGAAAGUCCGUGUGACUCUCGGUUCCCCCGUGUCCUCUUCCCAGUUUCCUGCCGCCAUCCUCGUUGGCUGGGAAUACUCUGCACAAUGGAAGUAACUGGAUUUUGGAGUCAGACUUGGGGCUGGGCCACGUUCUAGCUGCAAGAGCUUGGACACACAUUUGUUAGCAUUUUGAGUGAUAAUAAGCCCGUAUUUUCUCACUUGUAGAACAGACACAAAAAUCCCAUCUCAUAAGAUUGUUCUGAAAAUAAACCGAGGAAAUCUGUGUGAUACGCCAGCACAGACUCCACACGUCCUUGGGCAUAAUAAACACUUGUCGUCAAGUGACCGGGUGAACGCAGGGUUUCACUGCUCUCCUCUCAUUGUUCCGCCCUGGACCCAUCCGGCUGCUCAUCGGCUCCUUUAAAAUAAGGCGUUCAGAUCUGAGCGUGGAUGUCAAUCUAGGGAAAGGAGUAGUGGCUUUAUUUCUUGGGUUUAUCUGAACUUUUACUUAUGGAAGCUGAUCGUAUGUAUUUUAAGCAACCUUCCAUUAUGCAAUGUGUUUUACAAUACGUAGGUUCCUUGAAUUUGUCGUUCAGCUAAGAACCUCAGAUUUUGUUUGUGGUAAAACUAGGUUUCUUGACCCCAGUGGGUGGAAUUGACUUAUCAAGCCCGAGAGCAGGAUUUUCACAUCCCUUCUGGUUGAGUUGCAGGCAAGUCCUCGGGCGCCCGUCUCAGAUUUUGAGCUGGAGCGGAAUCUGGACUCACCGUGGGUUUUAUUGCUGUCUCCCCUAACUUGGUGUGUGUCAUCUGCAGUUUGGUUGAACAUAUUUUAUUUUAAAAUUUGAGGCUGAUCUGGCUGCCGUAUCUUUUCUCAUUGAUUGCCAGGGUUGGAUCAGCGUUUGAGGACUGCAAAGCAAGCAUCCCACACUUCUCCUUAAAUGUGCUCCCCAUUGAAGAAUGUGACCUUCCAGCUUGGAGGAGGAAUUUCCUUCCGUCAAGGGCAUGCCUUCUGUAUCUUCAUCUGGUCAAUUCACAAAAACACCAAGGUGGAACAUGGACUAAUGCAAAAUCUGGCCAUAUACCACUUUUCUCCAGAAGGGUUCAAAUCCAGGUCCCCUUUGGAGUGUAUUUACUGUUCAACCAACCAGGAAUCCAUCUAAUAACUCUAUUGUCCAUCAGGUCCUACAUCACCAUUGUGAAGGAACCUCACAAAUGUGCCACACAUCAAGAUGCAAGGUGUAAACAAUAAUGAUGGCAGUGAACAUGUACCAAGAGCAUUGUGUUAAGGGAUGUCACUAAAUUAUCAAGUGGAGGCUAUACAUUGACUACAGGCGGGGAAAUAAACACUUAGAGAAUUUCAGAAACUUUGCCCACAUCAGACUAGGAAGCGGAGGAGCCGGGUUUGAAGGCAGGCAGGCCAGCCCGAGCGCCCACAGUUGUCACAACUACUUACUCCUUGAUUGUUUUCAAUAUCACCAGUUAUAUGUUUUAAUAAUAAUUCUCUACCUUUUCAUAGACAGUGGUCAAAUUUUUUCUGUAGAAUUUUAAGUAAUGGAUAGAUGAUAGCUUUGGGGAAUGGUGUGGGAAUAUUCUUGCUAAGGACAGAGGUACAGAUUUUUUUUAUUCCAGUUCAAGUUUGCUCUUUUGGUUUUCUUCCAUCCGGCUGCAGUUAACACUUUCAUGUACAAUAUUAUCACCAAGUAUGACGCAUUCCUUUUUAAAAUUAAAGAGCAAACAAGUAAAAAAAUUGAUAUCGUUAA